rnacentral:lncRNA from 1 species
AUGCGGAGACGUUUGGCUGAAAUUACGCACAGUUUGGCAAUGAUGGAGCUGGUUAAACUUGUUAUAAUAGUUCUGCUGCUUCUCACAAGUGUUUUCUGCCAAGAAAUGGAAGUUGACAACUGGAGAGAAGGCAUCGAAGAGAACAAAUGGCCAAACUCGGGUGAAAUUCAAGAUAUAUUCGUGAGAAUGAGCAGAAAUCCAGGAUCUCAACAUUAUCUGAGAGUCAUUGGGAAGGACUCAGCAAAAUCGCAGAGAUCACGUAAACGUAAGUUUGUUGUUUUGCUUCAUAUUUUAAAAGCUAUCAAGGGAUUGCUGCAUUUUAACGGAUCUUUUCAUUCCCAGGGAACAGAUUUCAAACAUUUGUUGGACUGA